rnacentral:rRNA from 1 species
ACUCCUACGGGAGGCAGCAGUGGGGAAUUUUGGACAAUGGGCGAAAGCCUGAUCCAGCAAUGCCGCGUGAGUGAAGAAGGCCUUCGGGUUGUAAAGCUCUUUUGUCAGGGAAGAAACGGUGAAAGCUAAUAUCUUUUGCUAAUGACGGUACCUGAAGAAUAAGCACCGGCUAACUACGUGCCAGCAGCCGCGGUAAUACGUAGGGUGCAAGCGUUAAUCGGAAUUACUGGGCGUAAAGCGUGCGCAGGCGGUUUUGUAAGUCUGAUGUGAAAUCCCCGGGCUCAACCUGGGAAUUGCAUUGGAGACUGCAAGGCUAGAAUCUGGCAGAGGGGGGUAGAAUUCCACGUGUAGCAGUGAAAUGCGUAGAUAUGUGGAGGAACACCGAUGGCGAAGGCAGCCCCCUGGGUCAAGAUUGACGCUCAUGCACGAAAGCGUGGGGAGCAAACAGGAUUAGAAACCCCGGUAGUCCUAUG